rnacentral:rRNA from 1 species
UACGUAGGGGGCAAGCGUUGUCCGGAUUUAUUGGGCGUAAAGAGCGUGUAGGCGGCCAAGCAGGUCCGCUGUGAAAACUCGAGGCUCAACCUCGAGAGGUCGGUGGAAACCGUUUGGCUAGAGUCCGGAAGAGGAGAGUGGAAUUCCCGGUGUAGCGGUGAAAUGCGCAGAUAUCAGGAGGAACACCGGUGGCGAAGGCGGGUCUCUGGGCCGAUACUGACGCUGAGGAGCGAAAGCGUGGGGAGCGAACAGG